UAAGGAUGAUAAUAUCUGUGUGUGCUGUGGCCAUGUCCACUGAUGUCACACAUGUGAUGUCAUAACUCUAUAGAAUCUUGGGGCUGACAAAAACGGCUGCAGCCCUGACUUUGUUGAGGGAGUUGUAUCACAGCAGUGAUGGCGAGCAGUGGAAAGCGUGUAGUAAAGCGGAAGUAUGACCAGGUGACCCAGGGCACCACCAGACCGGCUAUACCAUACCAGCCGACACCGGCCAAAAGAUCUGCACCUGCUUUGGCUCCCAGAUCAACCCCGGCUUCAACAUCACAGCCGGAGGACAUGGAGGUGGAGGGGAGACAAUUCCCUGAGGAUAUUGAAAUGUCUGAUCCUGAGCCAAAGAGGAUGAAAUUCGCAUAUGAUACCGAUGGAUCUUGUGUAAUGGCCGAUAUGACCUGGAUAUGGAAGAGGAGGAGAUAGCAUUCUAUUUCUCCAGGAACAUCAAUAACAUCUAUUGGGGAACUCUCUAGAGUUUCCCAAUAACAUCUAUAACAUUUGAGACUCUCCUGAAGACUCAUCUGGUGAGGAGACCUCAGUGUAGUAGAUUAGCAGCAGCCGACACAUCGGAUACAGCGCUUUCCAGCCUCUCCAUAGAGAAGACAUCUCUGUGAUCCAAUCUGACAACAUUUGAAGAUACAGCGCCCUCCAGCCUCUCCACAGAGAUGACAUCACUGUUCUACAACCUCAGAAAAUCUUACAUUUUCAGAUAUUUGUUUAAUAAUAAACAAAUUUUUUUUUUA